CACGAGUCUUGCCCAGUAGCGGCGAGUGAGCGGCAAGAGCUCAGAUUUGAAAUCGUGUUUCGGCACGAGUUGUAGAGUGUAGGCGGGAGUCUCUGUGGAGCGCGGUGUCCAAGUCCCUUGGAACAGGGUGCCUGAGAGGGUGAGAGCCCCGUAGGGUGCUGCGCGAAGCUUUUGAGGCCCUGCUGACGAGUCGAGUUGUUUGGGAAUGCAGCUCCAAGCGGGUGGUAAAUUCCAUCUAAGGCUAAAUAUUGGCGAGAGACCGAUAGCGAACAAGUACUGUGAAGGAAAGAUGAAAAGCACUUUGAAAAGAGAGUGAAACAGCACGUGAAAUUGUUGAAAGGGAAGGGUAUUGGGCUCGACAUGGGGGGUGCGCACCGCUGUCUCUUGUAGGCGGCGCUCUGGGCGCCCUCUGGGCCAGCAUCGGUUCCUGCUGCGGGAGAAGGGGCUCCGGAAAGUGGCUCUUCGGAGUGUUAUAGCCGGGGCCAGAUGCCGCGUGUGGGGACCGAGGACUGCGGCUUCUGUCUCGGAUGCUGGCAUAACGGCGCAAUACCGCCCGUCUUAAACAACGGG
rnacentral:rRNA from 1 species